CCUACGGGUGGCAGCAGUGGGGAAUAUUGGGCAAUGGGCGCAAGCCUGACCCAGCAACGCCGCGUGAAGGAAGAAGGCUUUCGGGUUGUAAACUUCUUUUAAGAGGGAAGAGCAGAAGACGGUACCUCUUGAAUAAGCCACGGCUAACUACGUGCCAGCAGCCGCGGUAAUACGUAGGUGGCAAGCGUUGUCCGGAUUUACUGGGUGUAAAGGGCGUGCAGCCGGGAAGACAAGUCAGGUGUGAAAUCCCGGGGCCCAACCGCGGAACUGCAUUUGAAACUGUGUUUCUUGAGUACCGGAGAGGUCAGCGGAAGUGCUGGUGUAGCGGGGAAA
rnacentral:rRNA from 1 species